AGAAUCAACGCUGGCGGCGUGCCUCAGACAUGCAAGUCGAACGCGAAAGUCCCCUUCGGGGGGCGAGUAGAGUGGCGCACGGGUGAGUAACACGUAGGUAAUCUACCUUUGGAUGGGGAAUAACAACCGGAAACGGUUGCUAAUACCGCAUAAUGCAGCGGCACCUAAUGGUGACAGUUGUUAAAGCGGGGGAUCGAAAGACCUCGCGUCUGAAGAGGAGCCUGCGGCGGAUUAGCUAGUUGGUAAGGUAACGGCUUACCAAGGCGACGAUCC
rnacentral:rRNA from 1 species